AUUGAACGCUGGCGGCAGGCUUAACACAUGCAAGUCGAACGAGUGGCGGACGGGUGAGUAAUGUCUGGGAAACUGCCUGAUGGAGGGGGAUAACUACUGGAAACGGUAGCUAAUACCGCAUACCAUCGGAUCUGCCCAGAUGGGAUUAGCUAGUAGGUGGGGUAAAGGCUCACCUAGGCGACGAUCCCUAGCUGGUCUGAGAGGAUGACCAGCCACACUGGAACUGAGACACGGUCCAGACUCCUAAGGGAGGCAGCAGUGGGGAAUAUUGCACAAUGGGCGCAAGCCUGAUGCAGCCAUGCCGCGUGUGUGAAGAAGGCCUUCGGGUUGUAAAGCACUUUCAGCGGGGAGGCGUUACCCGCAGAAGAAGCACCGGCUAACUCCGUGCCAGCAGCCGCGGUAAUUC
rnacentral:rRNA from 1 species